rnacentral:tRNA from 1 species
GGGGGUUUAGCCCAGUGGAAGGGCGCCCGCCUGGCACGCGCAAGGCCCUGGGUUCCAUUCUCAGCCCUG